rnacentral:misc_RNA from 1 species
AAUUCUCAACCUUUAUCACUUUUUGCUGAUAAUGGCUUGGAUAUGGGGGUCUAUUUUGCUGGCUUCUUUACGGAUGGUCAGCUCCCCUUAAAUGCAUUAGCCGGUGCCCCGCGUGGACUGUCUAUUGGUGUGAUAAUUAUCUACGCCGUGGACAUCUGCAAUUAUAUGGGUUUGCACUGCUUCCAACCGUCUGUUCAAUCAGACAAUACAUGACA